CAAUCCUAGAGAUAGGACUUUCCCUUCGGGGACAAAAUGACAGGUGGUGCAUGGUUGUCGUCAGCUCGUGUCGUGAGAUGUUGGGUUAAGUCCCGCAACGAGCGCAACCCUUAUUGUUAGUUGCCAGCAUUAAGUUGGGCACUCUAGCAAGACUGCCGGUGACAAACCGGAGGAAGGUGGGGAUGACGUCAAAUCAUCAUGCCCCUUAUGACCUGGGCUACACACGUGCUACAAUGGACGGUACAACGAGUCGCAAGACCGCGAGGUUUAGCAAAUCUCUUAAAGCCGUUCUCAGUUCGGAUUGUAGGCUGCAACUCGCCUACAUGAAGUCGGAAUCGCUAGUAAUCGCGGAUCAGCAUGCCGCGGUGAAUACGUUCCCGGGCCUUGUACACACCGCCCGUCACACCAUGAGAGUUUGUAACACCCAAAGCCGGUGGGGUAACCUUUUGGAGCCAGCCGUCUAAGGUGGGACAGAUGAUUAGGGUGAAGUCGUAACAAGGUAGCCGUAGGAGAACCUGCGGCUGGAUCACCUCCUUUCUAAGGA
rnacentral:rRNA from 2 species